UUGGCAAGUGCUCCGGGUGGUGGAGCUGCUGGUCGUGGGUUCGAGUACUGCUCAACUCACUAUUCCCAUAGGGGUUUUCCCCCAUUUUCUUCUCCUACAGGUACUGUAGCUGUUGCCUCACGUGUGGAUGCACCACAAUGGUCAGGGUGACGUGCCCGUCACGUUCGAAGCCUGGUGUCGACUUUGGAUACCUCUCGGCCACGUGAAGUUUCCUAGGUAUAGGUUGUAGGUCUAGCUUACACACAGCGUGUGUGCAUGGGGCGUGAGUGUGGUGGUGUGAGUUUGUGUGUGAGUUCAGAUACUACAGCUUGUACUUGAAGGGUUGAGGCAUAAAAAAAAAAGAAAUAAAAACCAACCGUGCGCCGCCUUGCUUGCUUUCA